CAGUUAGCAAUGUGGCAGCUACCUUGUCAGAUCUACCACUGUAGUCAAAGGCAUUUGUCACUUUCAUAAUUAAUGAAUUCGGUAGCCGUCGUCACCCAUUGAUUUGUAAUCUUCUUUUCACUUCUUUUCGUUGAAAUUUCAUAUCGCUAAAUUCACAUCACUCCAUGCUCCUAGUAUGGUUCACGUGAACUCUGCACAUGUAAAUACAUUAGUAUUAAUCGAAUUUUUUAUUUUUUAAUCGUUAAUUAAAUUACUUUUUUU
rnacentral:lncRNA from 1 species